rnacentral:rRNA from 1 species
AGAGUUGAUCUGGCUCAGAUGAACGCUGGCGGCAGGCCUAACACAUGCAAGUCGGACGGUAGCACAGAGAGCUUGCUCUUGGGUGACGAGUGGCGGACGGGUGAGUAAUGUCUGGGGAUCUGCCCGAUAGAGGGGGAUAACCACUGGAAACGGUGGCUAAUACCGCAUAACGUCGCAAGACCAAAGAGGGGGACCUUCGGGCCUCUCACUAUCGGAUGAACCCAGAUGGGAUUAGCUAGUAGGCGGGGUAAUGGCCCACCUAGGCGACGAUCCCUAGCUGGUCUGAGAGGAUGACCAGCCACACUGGAACUGAGACACGGUCCAGACUCCUACGGGAGGCAGCAGUGGGGAAUAUUGCACAAUGGGCGCAAGCCUGAUGCAGCCAUUGCCGCGUGUAUGAAGAAGGCCUUCGGGUUGUAAAGUACUUUCAGCGGGGAGGAAGGCGGUGAGGUUAAUAACCUUACCGAUUGACGUUACCCGCAGAAGAAGCACCGGCUAACUCCGUGCCAGCCGCCGC